rnacentral:rRNA from 1 species
CCUACGGGAGGCAGCAGUGGGGGAUAUUGCACAAUGGGGGGAACCCUGAUGCAGCGACGCCGCGUGGGUGAAGGAGUGCUUCGGCAUGUAAAGCCCUAUCGGCAGGGAAGAAGCAAGACGGUACCUGACUAAGAAGCCCCGGCUAACUACGUGCCAGCAGCCGCGGUAAUACGUAGGGGGCGAGCGUUAUCCGGAUUCACUGGGUGUAAAGGGAGCGUAGACGGCCAUGCAAGCCAAGGGUGAAAGGCCGGGGCCCAACCCCGGGACUGCCCGUGGAACUGCAAGGCUGGAGUGCGGGAGGGGGAAGCGGAAAUCCUGGGGGAGCGGUGGAAUGGG